AUGCAUGUCUAAGUACACGCCUUUACACGGCAAAACUGCGAAUGGCUCAUUAAAUCAGUUAUGGUUCCUUAGAUCGUACAAUCCUACUUGGAUAACUGUGGCAAUUCUAGAGCUAAUACAUGCAACACAGCUCCGACCUUGCGGGAAGAGCGCUUUUGUUAGCCCAAAACCAAUCCGGUCCUCGUGGCCGGUCCUACAUGGUGACUCUGAACAACUUUGUGCCGAUCGUAUGCCCUAGCGGCGACGACGUGUCUUUCAAAUGUCUGCCCUAUCAACUGUCGAUGGUACGUGCUAUGCCUACCAUGGUGAUAACGGGUAACGGGGAAUCAGGGUUCGAUUCCGGAGAGGGAGCAUGAGAUACGGCUACCACA
rnacentral:rRNA from 1 species